UGCAGUCCAUAAUCAAACAGAACAUCUAACCUAUGUGUGGAACAACCCAUGAUGCAAUCUGUUUGUGUGCAGCGGAGGAACUCUUGAGAUGGGUGAUUGGCGGGUCUGUGCACCAAUCACAGCUCUGAGUCAUUGCAGCAGUAAACUGUAGUAUCUUGUUCUGACGCCUCUACUGAACCUCUACGAGGAUCAGCGGAGGUGCAGGAGCUCUGCUGGUUCCUUUCUGCCGCCUGAUGGCGGUGAUGCUCUGCUGUCAGUCUGAGGGCCCUUGGUCGCUCUAAGACACAAUAAGACAUCAUUCCUCCCUGCAGAGGAGAGCCUUCUCCCCUCUCUCCUCUGGGCUCCUCUCUUCUCUCCUCUGGGCUCCUUCCCUCUCUCCUCUCUCCUCUGGGCUCCUUCCCUCUCUCCUCUCUCCUCUGGGCUCCUCACCUCUCUCUCUCUCCCUCUCCCUCUCUUCUCCUCUCUGAACUCUGGGGACCUCUCAAGGUCUCACCCUCUCAAGGUCUCACCCUCUCCAUGUCUCACCCUCACCAUGUCCGGGUUCUCCUCCCGGGUAUGAUGACCCCGCUUCACCCCGUCUGCAGCAGAAGAGGUUCCAUGAAUCGAUCAAUAUAUAUAUAUCAAUAUAUAUCAAAUACAGCCGAUGCCAAUAUAGUGGGUUGGGAAAUUGCAAGUAUUUUAAUGUCUGUAUCAUGUAAUGGCAAUCAGUUGAUAGCAUUAAUCUGCAGCUGUGUUCAAUCAAUAUGUAUGUCUCUUGGGAUCUUAUGGGUGCCUAAUUAUAGGAUCUUGUAUGUUUAUUUUAAGGCGGGUUAUGGCAAUAUUAAAAUGAGUCUGAGACAA